CGGGGGGAGCAAGCGUUGUUCGGAUUUACUGGGCGUAAAGGGCGCGUAGGCGGCCACCGCAAGUCGACUGUGAAAUCUCCGGGCUUAACCCGGAAAGGUCAGCCGAUACUGCGGGGCUAGAGUGCAGAAGGGGCAACUGGAAUUCUCGGUGUAGCGGUGAAAUGCGUAGAUAUCGAGAGGAACACCUGCGGCGAAGGCGGGUCGCUGGGCUGACACUGACGCUGAGGCGCGAAAGCUAGGGGAGCGAACGGGAUUAGAUACCCCGGUAGUCCUAGCCUUAAACGAUGAAUGCUUGGUGUCUGGGGUUUUAUAGUCCCCGGGUGCCGUCGCUAACGCUUUAAGCAUUCCGCCUGGGGAGUACGGUCGCAAGACUG
rnacentral:rRNA from 1 species